rnacentral:rRNA from 1 species
AUUGAACGCUGGCGGCAUGCUUUACACAUGCAAGUCGAACGGUAACAGGGAGCUUGCUCCGCUGACGAGUGGCGAACGGGUGAGUAAUGCGUCGGAACGUGCCGAGUAGUGGGGGAUAACGCAUCGAAAGGUGUGCUAAUACCGCAUACGUACUGAGGUAGAAAGUGGGGGACCUUCGGGGCCUCACGCUAUUCGAGCGGCCGACGUCUGAUUAGCUAGUUGGUGAGGUAAAGGCUCACCAAGGCGACGAUCAGUAGCGGGUCUGAGAGGAUGAUCCGCCACACUGGGACUGAGACACGGCCCAGACUCCUACGGGAGGCAGCAGUGGGGAAUUUUGGACAAUGGGCGCAAGCCUGAUCCAGCCAUGCCGCGUGUCUGAAGAAGGCCUUCGGGUUGUAAGGACUUUGUCCGGGAGCGAAAUAG